rnacentral:rRNA from 1 species
AGAACCUGAAACCGUGUACGUACAAGCAGUGGGAGCACCUUCGUGGUGUGACUGCGUACCUUUUGUAUAAUGGGUCAGCGACUUAUAUUCUGUAGCAAGGUUAACCGUAUAGGGGAGCCGAAGGGAAACCGAGUCUUAACUGGGCGUUAAGUUGCAGGGUAUAGACCCGAAACCCGGUGAUCUAGCCAUGGGCAGGUUGAAGGUUGGGUAACACUAACUGGAGGACCGAACCGACUAAUGUUGAAAAAUUAGCGGAUGACUUGUGGCUGGGGGUGAAAGGCCAAUCAAACCGGGAGAUAGCUGGUUCUCCCCGAAAGCUAUUUAGGUAGCGCCUCGUGAACUCAUCUUCGGGGGUAGAGCACUGUUUCGGCUAGGGGGCCAUCCCGGCUUACCAACCCGAUGCAAACUACGAAUACCGAAGAAUGUUAUCACGGGAGACACACGGCGGGUGCUAACGUCCGUCGUGAAGAGGGAAACAACCCAGACCGCCAGCUAAGGUCCCAAAGUCAUGGUUAAGUGGGAAACGAUGUGGGAAGGCACAGACAGCCAGGAUGUUGGCUUAGAAGCAGCCAUCAUUUAAAGAAAGCGUAAUAGCUCACUGGUCGAGUCGGCCUGCGCGGAAGAUGUAACGGGGCUAAACCAUGCACCGAAGCUGCGGCAGCGACGCUUAUGCGUUGUUGGGUAGGGGAGCGUUCUGUAAGCCGUUGAAGGUGUGCUGUGAGGCAUGCUGGAGGUAUCAGAAGUGCGAAUGCUGACAUAAGUAACGAUAAAGCGGGUGAAAAGCCCGCUCGCCGGAAGACCAAGGGUUCCUGUCCAACGUUAAUCGGGGCAGGGUGAGUCGACCCCUAAGGCGAGGCCGAAAGGCGUAGUCGAUGGGAAACAGGUUAAUAUUCCUGUACUUGGUGUUACUGCGAAGGGGGGACGGAGAAGGCUAUGUUAGCCGGGCGACGGUUGUCCCGGUUUAAGCAUGUAGGCGGAGGUUCCAGGUAAAUCCGGUACCUUUUAACGCUGAGGUGUGAUGACGAGGCACUACGGUGCUGAAGUAACAAAUGCCCUGCUUCCAGGAAAAGCCUCUAAGCAUCAGGUAACAUCAAAUCGUACCCCAAACCGACACAGGUGGUCAGGUAGAGAAUACCAAGGCGCUUGAGAGAACUCGGGUGAAGGAACUAGGCAAAAUGGUGCCGUAACUUCGGGAGAAGGCACGCUGAUAUGUAGGUGAAGCCCCUGCGGGUGGAGCUGAAAUCAGUCGAAGAUACCAGCUGGCUGCAACUGUUUAUUAAAAACACAGCACUGUGCAAACACGAAAGUGGACGUAUACGGUGUGACGCCUGCCCGGUGCCGGAAGGUUAAUUGAUGGGGUUAGCGGCAACGCGAAGCUCUUGAUCGAAGCCCCGGUAAACGGCGGCCGUAACUAUAACGGUCCUAAGGUAGCGAAAUUCCUUGUCGGGUAAGUUCCGACCUGCACGAAUGGCGUAAUGAUGGCCAGGCUGUCUCCACCCGAGACUCAGUGAAAUUGAACUCGCUGUGAAGAUGCAGUGUACCCGCGGCAAGACGGAAAGACCCCGUGAACCUUUACUAUAGCUUGACACUGAACACUGGUCCUUGAUGUGUAGGAUAGGUGGGAGGCUUUGAAG